GACGUAGGGCGCGAGCGUUGUCCGGAAUUAUUGGGCGUAAAGAGCUCGUAGGCGGUCUGUCGCGUCGGCUGUGAAAUCCCGAGGCUCAACCUCGGGUCUGCAGUCGAUACGGGCAAACUAGAGUAUUGCAGGGGAGACUGGAAUCCCUGGUGUAGCGGUGAAAUGCGCAGAUAUCAGGAGGAACACCGGUGGCGAAGGCGGGUCUCUGGGCAAUAACUGACGCUGAGGAGCGAAAGCGUGGGGAGCGAACAGG
rnacentral:rRNA from 1 species